GUUUUAAUAAUUUAACAAAAAUGUUGGUCUUGUAAACCAAAAAUAAGGAACACCCUUUUAAAACU
rnacentral:tRNA from 1 species